AGGCUACUGGGGUGAAAGACGGAGAGAUUGCAAAUCUAAAAGAUGAGGAUAAGGUUGAUCAUUUGAUGUUGGCUCACUGACUAACUAGAGACUAAGGAACUUGAAUCUCGGUGCAGCAUCCAUUCUUUGUUUUUAUCUAUUCCUGAGUUCUGUUAUUGUUGGGAAGUUUAUGUCCUUACCUUACAAAUGACCAUUGUUCCACCUGUAGAAAAAUCAGUUGGAGAAACAAAGAUUUUCUAAAGCUACAAUUUCAAAGCUCUUUGGCUAAUUUAUAAUGUUAAUUUGAGAAACAGGUCCAUAAAACGAGCACCUCAAACUGCACCGUCUGAUUUUAUUCUAGGGUGGGGAAGUAAUUGUAUUUAGUGACUUCUCUGCUGAGAAAUCAAAAUAUCAGAGGUAACAACAAUCAAUAUGACAAAUAUGAUUUAGAAAUUCUAUGUCAAGUCAAUCGUGUAAAACGCAAGCAUUAUGAUGACUUUAGCUGUUUAAAUUAAUUUGAAUGAAAUACAUAUACAUAAAAUAUGAACUUCUGUUAGAAUUGUGAGAAAGUUAAAGGAUAAAACUUAUUAAACCAAGCUUUGUUAUGUCUUUUAGUUUUUUUUUUUGCAGAUAUAUAUCUUCAUUGUGUUCAUGGUCAGCCACAAUCAAUAAAGUGAGAAAUAACAUUUUUACCGAAGGAGCCCAAAGUUACUCUCUUCUUUCAUUCUCUCUUACAGGGUUACAGUAUUUAGCGGCAAUAAACCAACCCUGUAAUAAAUCAGGUUUAUUACGAGUAGUUGUUGAUCUCUCUCCAAGUUAUGAGCUUCCUGCUGGUUUUGAGGUAUGUCGUAAUCACAUUUCAGGUUGAGCCCAAAGUUGAAGCUGAAUCAUGGUUUGUAAUGUCUGGUUUUAAUGAAAACUUCGUUGUAUUGGGAGAAUGGUUAGGCGGUAGUCCUAAACAGAAGAAGAGAUCGAAAGCAAAAUUUGGUAGGAGAUUUCUUUGAAGAAGGCGUUAAGAUUAAGAAUUUUCUCCAAAUCAGCUUUCUACAGAGAUUGAGUUAUUCACGAGGUGGUCUUAGUGAAAGGAUUGAUGUGAGGGCAUGUUUCAACCGAGUAUAAACACUGAGAGUAUUCUUUGGUUUCUAUGUUUAACCAUCUCUUCUCCUGCUCAUGCGUAAAUCCGAUUUAUAUCAUUUUUGGAAUUCCAUACAUCUAACCGAGUUUGGUAUACAAUGUGGAAUUUCACAAAGAUUGUAAAAAAGGUGGGUGUGGGCCGUGUGGCAACUUGGAAUCACCACUUGAUUUCGACCAGCAAUAUGUAAUCCAAACAAUUAAUUAUUACGAACUGAAAAUUUAUGUUUAAUAUUUUAAUUUACGUUUUAAUUAGGUUGAUCUUACAACAACAUUCAUAUAAAUAAAAAACAUUUCCAUUUAUACGAAUUAUAAUAACAAACAUGAAUGACAUACCAAACAAAAUAACAAACAUGAAUGCUUUUUUUUUGGUAGAGCAUGACUGGUAUUAAAUAAACUAAUACGGCUCUGAUGUCCAACGCCAAAUAAAGCAUGAAUUAAGGACAAUAUAUUACAAGAUGUAUUAUGUGGUCAAUGACGGUUCUCACGCUCAAUAUUCUAACAUCCUACAUAACUAACUAAACAUGGCAUAGAAAUAAUGGUUCACAAAUGAUAUAACCAACCCCCGUUGAAGUUAAAAGCAAAUAUCAAUCCAAACAUUUAUAUUUACAAAUGUUCAUUGAAAUAUAAGAUGUUUCUAUAUUAUUUUUAAUUUACUGCCCCGCCCAUAGGGCGGGUUUACCCUAGUUAAUAAAAAAAUUCCAAUACAU